UCCACCUGGAGAGAGGGUGAAAGAUGGCUUCGGCUAUCACUAGGGGAUGGGCCCGCGGCGCAUUAGCUAGUUGGUAAGGUAACGGCUUACCAAGGCAACGAUGCGUAGCCGACCUGAGAGGGUGAUCGGCCACACUGGGACUGAGACACGGCCCAGACUCCUACGGGAGGCAGCAGUAGGGAAUCUUCCGCAAUGGACGAAAGUCUGACGGAGCAACGCCGCGU
rnacentral:rRNA from 1 species